CAAAAGCGCAUGUGCUGUGAGCUCGAUGAGUAGGGCGGGACACGUGGUAUCCUGUCUGAAUAUGGGGGGACCAUCCUCCAAGGCUAAAUACUCCUGACUGACCGAUAGUGAACCAGUACCGUGAGGGAAAGGCGAAAAGAACCCCGGCGAGGGGAGUGAAAAAGAACCUGAAACCGUGUACGUACAAGCAGUGGGAGCACAGGUUUACCUGUGUGACUGCGUACCUUUUGUAUAAUGGGUCAGCGACUUAUAUUCUGUAGCAAGGUUAACCGAAUAGGGGAGCCGGAGGGAAACCGAGUCUUAAUUGGGCGUUAAGUUGCAGGGUAUAGACCCGAAACCCGGUGAUCUAGCCAUGGGCAGGUUGAAGGUUGGGUAACACUAACUGGAGGACCGAACCGACUAAUGUUGAAAAAUUAGCGGAUGACCUGUGGCUGGGGGUGAAAGGCCAAUCAAACCGGGAGAUAGCUGGUUCUCCCCGAAAGCUAUUUAGGUAGCGCCUCGUGAAUUCAUCUCCGGGGGUAGAGCACUGUUUCGGCUAGGGGGCCAUCCCGGCUUACCAACCCGAUGCAAACUGCGAAUACCGGAGAAUGUUAUCACGGGAGACACACGGCGGGUGCUAACGUCCGUCGUGAAGAGGGAAACAACCCAGACCGCCAGCUAAGGUCCCAAAGUCAUGGUUAAGUGGGAAACGAUGUGGGAAGGCCCAGACAGCCAGGAUGUUGGCUUAGAAGCAGCCAUCAUUUAAAGAAAGCGUAAUAGCUCACUGGUCGAGUCGGCCUGCGCGGAAGAUGUAACGGGGCUAAACCAUGCACCGAAGCUGCGGCAGCGAACGUAUCACCCAAGACAACUUUACGGAGUUGACGAUUGACGGAGCGAAGCGACGUCAAAGCGUUCAUUAAAGUCGAGUUGGCUUAGGGAUACGUUCGUUGGGUAGGGGAGCGUUCUGUAAGCCUGUGAAGGUGUGUCGUGAGGC
rnacentral:rRNA from 1 species